AUGAACGCUAGCGGCAGGCUUAACACAUGCAAGUCGAGGGGUAGAGUUCUUCGGAACUUGAGACCGGCGCACGGGUGCGUAACGCGUAUGCAAUCUACCUUUUACAGAGGGAUAGCCCAGAGAAAUUUGGAUUAAUACCUCAUAGUAUUACGACUCGGCAUCGAGAUGUAAUUAAAGUCACAACGGUAAAAGAUGAGCAUGCGUCCCAUUAGCUAGAUGGUAAGGUAACGGCUUACCAUGGCUACGAUGGGUAGGGGUCCUGAGAGGGAGAUCCCCCACACUGGUACUGAGACACGGACCAGACUCCUACGGGAGGCAGCAGUGAGGAAUAUUGGUCAAUGGGCGCAAGCCUGAACCAGCCAUGCCGCGUGCAGGAUGACGGUCCUAUGGAUUGUAAACUGCUUUUGCACAGGAAGAAACACUCGGACGUGUCCGAGCUUGACGGUACUGUGAGAAUAAGGAUCGGCUAACUCCGU
rnacentral:rRNA from 1 species